rnacentral:rRNA from 1 species
AUUGGACGCUGGCGGCAGGCCUAACACAUGCAAGUCGAGCGGAUGAAGGGAGCUUGCUCCUGGAUUCAGCGGCGGACGGGUGAGUAAUGCCUAGGAAUCUGCCUGGUAGUGGGGGAUAACGUCCGGAAACGGGCGCUAAUACCGCAUACGUCCUGAGGGAGAAAGUGGGGGAUCUUCGGACCUCACGCUAUCAGAUGAGCCUAGGUCGGAUUAGCUAGUUGGUGGGGUAAAGGCCUACCAAGGCGACGAUCCGUAACUGGUCUGAGAGGAUGAUCAGUCACACUGGAACUGAGACACGGUCCAGACUCCUACGGGAGGCAGCAGUGGGGAAUAUUGGACAAUGGGCGAAAGCCUGAUCCAGCCAUGCCGCGUGUGUGAAGAAGGUCUUCGGAUUGUAAAGCACUUUAAGUUGGGAGGAAGGGCAGUAAGUUAAUACCUUGCUGCUUUGACGUUACCAACAGAAUAAGCACCGGCUAACUUCGUG